rnacentral:rRNA from 1 species
ACAGCAGCAGCCGCGGUAAUACGAAGGGUGCAAGCGUUACUCGGAAUUACUGGGCGUAAAGCGUGCGUAGGUGGUGGUUUAAGUCCGUUGUGAAAGCCCUGGGCUCAACCUGGGAAUUGCAGUGGAUACUGGGUCACUAGAGUGUGGUAGAGGAUAGUGGAAUUUCCGGUGUAGCAGUGAAAUGCGUAGAGAUCGGAAGGAACAUCUGUGGCGAAGGCGACUAUCUGGGCCAACACUGACACUGAGGCACGAAAGCGUGGGGAGCAAACAGGAUUAGAUACCCCGGUAGUCCCUGUCUCUUAUAC